AACGAACGCUAGCGGCGUGCCUAACACAUGCAAGUCGAGCGAGAAAAGACUUCGGUCUAAGUAAAGCGGCGCACGGGUGAGUAACACGUGGGUAACGUACCCUCGGGUGGGGGAUAACAGACCGAAAGGUUUGCUAAUACCGCAUCAGACCACAGUCCUCGCGGGGACAGGGGUCAAAGGGGGCUGUCGCAAGGCAGCUCUCGCCUGAGGAUCGGCCCGCGGACCAUUAGCUAGUUGGUAGGGUAACGGCCUACCAAGGCUACGAUGGUUAGCUGGUCUGAGAGGACGAUCAGCCACACUGGGACUGAGACACGGCCCAGACUCCUACGGGAGGCAGCAGUGGGGAAUAUUGGACAAUGGGCGCAAGCCUGAUCCAGCAAUGCCGCGUGUGUGAAGAAGGCCUGCGGGUUGUAAAGCACUUUCAGUGGGGAAGAACAGGUUCGGGUCAAUACCCGGAGCCCUGACGUUACCCACAGAAGAAGCACCGGCUAACUCCGUGCCAGCAGCCGUACGG
rnacentral:rRNA from 1 species